rnacentral:lncRNA from 1 species
GGACAAGUGAGAACGGGCGCUGGGAGUGGACUCUCGGGGGGUCGGGGCCGGGGUACUGGGGUCCUGGGUGGUGGGGCGGUGUUUCUGGGGUGCCCAGCUUCCCCGGCCCUCGGUUCACCUUUGUCUUUGCACCUUUUCCAGGGUUAACUGCUCUUUUUACUUUAAGAUCGGGGUCUGCCGGCACGGGGACCGGUGCUCCCGGCUUCACAACAAGCCGACAUUCAGCCAGGCUCCUCCCACCGGUCUUCGUGCCGUUUUCCCGGGAACUUGGUCGCGCCCCCAUGCGUACAGGCUACACACGGCGGCUGUUCAUCUUUGCCAGUCCCUUCCAUCCCGCUGUUCAUCCUUGCCAGUCCCCUCCAUCCCUUUUCUGGUUUCUUAGGGGCAAAGGAUCGCCGAUGCACUCAUGAUGCUUA